UACGUAGGGCGCGAGCGUUGUCCGGAAUUAUUGGGCGUAAAGAGCUCGUAGGCGGCCUGUUGCGUCUGCUGUGAAAUCCCGGGGCUUAACCCCGGGCGUGCAGUGGAUACGGGCAGGCUGGAGGCAGGCAGGGGAGAAUGGAAUUCCCGGUGUAGCGGUGAAAUGCGCAGAUAUCGGGAGGAACACCGGUGGCGAAGGCGGUUCUCUGGGCUUGUUCUGACGCUGAGGAGCGAAAGCGUGGGGAGCGAACAGG
rnacentral:rRNA from 1 species